AUUGAACGCUGGCGGCAGGCCUAACACAUGCAAGUCGAGCGGAUGAAGGUAGCUUGCUCCUGGAUUCAGCGGCGGACGGGUGAGUAAUGCCCAGGAAUCUGCCUGGUAGAGGGGGAUAACGUCCCGAAACGGGCGCUGAUACCGCAUACGACGGGAGGGAGAAAGUGGGGGAUCUUCGGACCUCGCGCUAUCAGAUGAUCCUAGGACGGAUUAGCUAGUCGGUGGUGUAAAGGUCGACCAAGACGACGAUCCGUAACUGGUCUGAGAGGAGGUGCAGUCCCACUGGAACUGAGACACGGUCCAGACUCCUACGGGGGGACGCAGUAGGGAAUAUUGGGCGAUGGCAGAAGGCCUGAUCCAGCCAUGCGGCGUGUGUGAAGAAGGUCUUCGGGUUUUAAAGCACUUUAAGUUGGGAGGAAGGGCAGUAAGUUACUACCUUGCUGUAUUGACGUUACCAACAGAAUAAGCACCGGCUAACUUCGUG
rnacentral:rRNA from 1 species